rnacentral:rRNA from 1 species
GACGAACGCUGGCGGCGUGCUUAACACAUGCAAGUCGAGCGGUAAGGCCUUUCGGGGUACACGAGCGGCGAACGGGUGAGUAACACGUGGGUGAUCUGCCCUGCACUUCGGGAUAAGCCUGGGAAACUGGGUCUAAUACCGGAUAUGACCUCCUAUCGCAUGGUGGGUGGUGGAAAGAUUUAUCGGUGCAGGAUGGGCCCGCGGCCUAUCAGCUUGUUGGUGGGGUAAUGGCCUACCAAGGCGACGACGGGUAGCCGACCUGAGAGGGUGACCGGCCACACUGGGACUGAGACACGGCCCAGACUCCUACGGGAGGCAGCAGUGGGGAAUAUUGCACAAUGGGCGAAAGCCUGAUGCAGCGACGCCGCGUGAGGGAUGACGGCCUUCGGGUUGUAAACCUCUUUCAGCAGGGACGAAGCGCAAGUGACGAUACCUGCAGAAGAAGCACCGGCUAACUACGUG